GCUGGAUUUUCGUCUAGUUCAUCUUGGUUAAGGCCUCUAUCUUGAAUUGGAUUAAGGACCCUAAUGCUGUCGUUUAUUGGGAUUGUGUGAGGAUUUGGUGGAUUUCUACAUACUGGGAGAUGUUGGAGAAGAGAGAAAUUAUUGGUUCAGUCCAAUUGAUAUCGAAGAUUGGAAUCUGAAUGGUUGACAGUGGUGGAAUGCAGAUACGUUGGAUUAGCUUCUAAUUUGGAAAAGAAGAAUGGUAAGGGUCUGGGUAUUUGGAUCUGUUUUUGCUGUUUAUUGUGUGUACUCGGUGAAAUUAUGGGUAUGUGAAAUAUUAGAAAUGAAAGUGGUACUUGUUGUUUGAGUUA